rnacentral:misc_RNA from 1 species
GAGAAAGGAGAUUGAUAUAAAAAUUGGGAAAGAAUGGGAAGUUGUACCUAGAUUUGUGUGAGCUGGCAAAGUCAAGUGUUAAGUGUGUUACUGCAUAAUUAGUAAUUAUUAAUUGGUGUGAUUUGUUGGAAGAGUGGAUUGAGCUAUGUUAAAUGUUGGUUUUCUGAUCGUGUUUUUGGGCUGUUUGGUGUCCUUGAGUAUGGAGGAUGAGCACGGACACGAAUAUUCUGUUGAAGAAGAAGUGGUGCUGUGGAUGAACACAGUGGGUCCCUACCAGAAUCAGCAAGAGAGGUAUUCUUUUUUUUCCCUUCCGUUUUGUAGAGGGCCUCUGGAAGAUGUCUCACAUUAUCAUGAAACAUUGGGAGAAGCACUUUUAGGUACGGAACUCGAAUUUUCUGGCUUGGAAAUUCGUUUUCGAAUUCCUGUGGCAAAUAAAGAAUUCUGUGUUUUGACGUCUUUAAAGAAAAGUGAGCUCAAGGCUUUUGUGUAUGCCGUGAAGAAUCAGUAUUCCUAUCAGAUGUACCUAGAUGAUUUGCCAAUUGUUGGCAUUGUUGGAGAUGUUGAUGAUGACAAUUAUUAUCUCUGGACACACAAAAAAAUUGAAAUAGGCUACAACGGUAAUCAGAUUAUUGACGUGAACUUUACUUCAGAAAACCCAGUGAAGUUGGAAAAAAAUAUUCGGUUGAGUUUUACAUAUGAGGUAAAAUGGAAAAAAAGUCCUGUAUUAUUCAAGAAUCGUUUCGAUCGAUAUUUAGAUCCUGGCUUCUUUCAGCAUCGAAUCCACUGGUUUUCAAUUUUUAACUCAUUUAUGAUGGUAAUAUUUUUGGUUGGACUUGUUGUAUUGAUUUUAAUGCGUACACUCAGAAAAGAUUAUGCUCGUUAUUCAAAAGAUGAUGAGAUUGAUGAAAUGGAAAGGGAUUUGGGGGAUGAAUAUGGAUGGAAACAAGUUCAUGGAGAUGUAUUCCGUCCUGUUGCUCCAUUUCUUUUAUUUACUGCCUUAAUUGGGACAGGAUGCCAAUUAUUUUUUGUUGUUCUGUUUGUGAUUUUAUCUGCAACGUUUAGCGAUUUAUAUCUGGAGCGUGGAUCAUUGCUGAGUACUAUCAUAUUUAUUUAUUCUACAACAUCUCCUAUUAAUGGCUUCUUUGGUGGUAGUUUAUAUAUUCGGAUGGGUGGUAAAAACUGGAUUCGUCAAAUGAUAACCUCUUCACUUAUCCUUCCUACCUGUAUCUGUACUAUGGCAUUUUUUAUCAAUAUGGUAUCAAUUUAUUAUCAAACUUCUCGAGCAAUUCCGUUCGCUACCAUGCUAGCAAUAUUAUGUAUAAUUAUUUUCAUUAUUCUACCUUUAACAUUUGUGGGUACAAUAGUUGGUAGAAAUUUGGUUGGAAUUCCAGAUUUUCCAUGUAGAAUCAACGCAGUUCCACGACCCAUUCCAGAAAAAAAGUGGUACAUGGAGCCUGUUAUAAUAAUUUUUAUGGGUGGCAUACUUCCUUUCGGGUCAAUUUUCAUCGAAAUGUAUUUUGUAUUAACUUCUUUCUGGGCUUAUAAAUAUUACUACGUCUACGGAUUUAUGCUUUUGGUUUUUUUAAUCCUUAUUGUUGUUACAAUUUGUGUUACAAUUGUAUGCUCUUAUUUUCUGCUAAAUGCUGAAGAUUAUAGAUGGUGACUAUUAAAAUUUAUAGGCAGUGGACGAGUUUUUCUGUUGGUGCAUCCACAUCAGGCUAUUUAUACCUAUAUUCAGUAUAUUUCUUCUUUUUUAAGACAAGUUAGACCAUGCAAUUCUAGAGGCCUGGAAUAGUCACGAAUUUUUUUCCCUACAUGGGGGUAAUAUAUAUUUUUUUUAAAUGAAUCAAUGUCAUUAUUUACUCUAUUCAUUUGUGAGGGGACAUGACGAAAAACAAGAUAAGUGUGAUAAUUCCAUUUGUCUAUAAUUCCAUGGUCUGACAAACCAUCGGGGAAUUUUGCCUUCUUUGAGUUGAAUUGUAAUGGAGUGAAAGAAAAAAUUGACUUACCGGGUGCUCCAUUGAAAUUUCUACACUUUACUAUUCAAUAAUGAUUGAAGCUUACGUACAAGUCGAGAAAAUGACACAUGAAUGUGAUUUACGAAUUUCCAUUCGCGCAGUUGGGCGUCUCCAAUACCUUCUUCUUCUCUUUCAGCAAGUCCAAAACGUUGGAGAGGAAGAAAGGUUCCCAGAAGAAG